CGAAUGCUGACAUAAGUAACGAUAAAGCGGGUGAAAAGCCCGCUCGCCGGAAGACCAAGGGUUCCUGUCCAACGUUAAUCGGGGCAGGGUGAGUCGACCCCUAAGGCGAGGCCGAAAGGCGUAGUCGAUGGGAAACAGGUUAAUAUUCCUGUACUUGGUGUUACUGCGAAGGGGGGACGGAGAAGGCUAUGUUGGCCGGGCGACGGUUGUCCCGGUUUAAGCGUGUAGGCUGGUUUUCCAGGCAAAUCCGGAAAAUCAAGGCUGAGGCGUGAUGACGAGGCACUACGGUGCUGAAGCAACAAAUGCCCUGCUUCCAGGAAAAGCCUCUAAGCAUCAGGUAACAUCAAAUCGUACCCCAAACCGACACAGGUGGUCAGGUAGAGAAUACCAAGGCGCUUGAGAGAACUCGGGUGAAGGAACUAGGCAAAAUGGUGCCGUAACUUCGGGAGAAGGCACGCUGAUAUGUAGGUGAAGUCCCUCGCGGAUGGAGCUGAAAUCAGUCGAAGAUACCAGCUGGCUGCAACUGUUUAUUAAAAACACAGCA
rnacentral:rRNA from 1 species